AAAAAAACCCAACAACAAAAAGCACGCCUCGCUGUGCACAUGCGCGAACCCCCGGGCCGCAGAGGGAGUGUUUGAGCAUGCGCGGGAGAGUCCGCGCCGGCGGGCGGCGGGCGAAAGCGCUGAGCUGAAGUUCGCCCCGCCUGGCUGCCUCUGCUUGGCCUGGCGAACCCCAGGGCUCGAGGCUGAGGAAGAUGACGGCUGCUAGGAAGGACUUUGCCCCCUGCACCCCGGAGCUGAGGUUAGAGCGCAAUUGCGCGGGCCGCUCUGAAGAAAGACUUUGCUAUAGCGCUCCGUGUUUCAGUCCCGUUGGAUGGUUGAGAGCUGCGCCCCGAUUCCAGAACCUUCCAUGUGCACCUUCCCUUCUGUUAACGACGCCCUGGGAAAUGGCAGUGACUACAGAGGUUCUCCCGGUGACACCACCCACCACCCGAACAUGACAAACGCAAGAUUAUUAUCAUGAUGACCAACCUCAACAAGAUCAGAAGAUCUCUGCAAUUGAGUGUCCGCCAAACAUAAGUGAUGCUUCCCGCUGUUGCGUGCAUCCUGGAAAGAACCAGAUGGUGGCUCAAGUGAUUGGAUCCCUGCCUUUAAUGAGAUCUAGAUUGUGUGCCUGGCUCCUGGCUUUGGCUUAAUCCAGUCCUGGCUGUUGUGAACACUUGGGGAGUGAACUGAAAAAGUGAUGGCCAUAAAUAUGAAGAAAAUUUCACAGUUGGAUGUUGCUGUCAUCAUCUGCUUCCAAUAGAAAACCAGCUCAAUUUUUUCCCAUCCAGUUCAUGAAAUCAAGGCAAAGCUUUUUGAAGUCUAAUUUUCUGAAGGUUGAACAUAAGAAAUUAUUAUGACUAUUUAUUUUAAAAGUUUCUGCCCUGAAAACGUGAUUAAUCUUUGUGGUGAUAAAAUCCUUGCUCUUACUAAAAAGUAGGAGGAUCUACCCACAACUGGAUGUGGCACACACAGAAUUCACAAUUACAUUCGGAGUUCCGAAAAUAUAAUUCUUUUAAAUAUGGAGAAAACUAAUUGCCAAAAAUUAUUUUACUUUACAUAUGCACAGAACAAGUGAAUUGCAAAAUUAUGUGGCAGUGCUGCCCGUUGAAUGUAGGAAAUUUUUAGUACAUCAUUCUGUGUUUUCUCUCUUUGCUGCUUCUUGCCAAUCUGAUGUUUAAAAAUGUUUGAACUGUUGAAUAUCUCCUUUGUAAACCAAUAUAAACAUUCUAUUGUACUGAGCCUUUAUGUACAAGUCCUCUAAAUUUUAGUUUAAUGCCAUUCAAAAUUAGUUGGCAAUUAUUUCCUCUUUGUUUGUCCAGGUAAUGUUUACCCCAUGUGUCCUGGUUGGUGAGUUUUGCUGAUUUGAUAAUUGUGUGCAAUCAUUAAACCAUCAUCACAAUCAGGAAAUAGAGCAAUUCCUCACUCUUGAAAGUUUCCUCAGACCCGUAUGUGGUCAGUCUUCCCCCCUCGACUCGUGGCAGACAGCCGUUCAUCUGUUUCCUCUCCCCAGUUUUUCAUGUUAUCGGUUGUCAUAUAAAUGGGCUUAUACAGCAUGGAAUCUUUUGCAAUUGAUUUCUUUUCUGUCAACAUAAUAGUUUUGAGAUGCACCCAUGCUGUGUCUGAAUUAAUGUUUCUUUUCAUUGCUGAGUAGCUUUCCAUGACAUAGCUAUACCACACAUUGUUUAUCCUUUUUCAGCAGGUACCGUUGUGACUAAUGCUGAUACGAAUAUUUGUGUUUGUGUUUUUGCUUCAACAUUUGUUUUUGUUUAUUUCCAGUAAAUACCUAGAAGUGCUAUUUUUGAAUUGCAAUUAUAUGGUAAUGUGUUUGCCAGCUGCUGUACCAUUUUCCAUUCCCACCAACAACGUGUGAGAGAUCUAGUGCUCUAUGUCCCUGUCAACACUUGGUAGUGUCAGUCUCCACAAGUUUAUCCAUUUUAGUGUGCAGGAGAACUUCAUUAUGAUUUGGAUUGACAUGUUUUCCUUCAUCUACCAAAGUUGAGCCCUUUUUCAUGUACUCAGGAAAAAUUUUAAUCGAGUGUUUAUCAAAUGAAAUGCCAACAUGCAGUUAUUGGAAAUAUGAUUUGCAGACAGAGAAACCUGAAAUUUAUCCUUUCAUAAGCACAGGAGGUAUUGAACAGAUUAAUUAAACAAUGAGUCCUCAAAUGGCAUACAAUAUUAAUGCUGAAAUUCUGUAAUUGCAUUUUAGAAUAUCUCAACUUGCAGGAUGAAUCAUUUGCUGAAGCACCUAUUUUUAAUUGGGUAAAUUUAUGUUCUGUACUGCAAUGAAAUGAAAUUGAGGAAGGCCCAUAAUUAUGUGGAAUCAUAAACAGAGACAACUUAGUUGACAAAGUGUUUCUUCUGAAAUACUGGUUGAAGGUACUCUGAAUAAAGGCAAAAAAGGACAGCAUCUAUGAAAAUCUAUGAGCCGAAGUGUUUACAUAAUUCAACAAGAAAAUACUUAAAAUUGUGAAUAGUGUUUUAUGUAAUCCUAAGAGCCACCACCAGAACAAAAUUUCACAGAAUGCACGGCUCAAACCACACAAAGAUAUUUCCCAGCGGCCUGGAGGCUCAGAAGCCCAAGGUCAAGGGGUCAACAAUUUGUCCUGGGGCUCCUGUCCUCAGUUUGUACAAGAUGGUGAACUUCCUGCUGUGUCCUCACAUGACCUUUCGUCCGUGUGCAUGCGUCCCUGCUCAGUCUUUGGGUAUUCGAAUUUCCCCCUAUAAGGACAGCAGUCAGACUGGAUGAGGGCCAUCCUGGUGACUCCUCACUGCUGCACCUCUGUUAAAACUCCUGAAUUCAGUCACGUUCUGAAGUCCUGGGGUUAGGGCUUCAAAUUACAUAUUUGCAGAGGAAAAGGGAAAAUUCAGCCUCCUAACUGUCCUCCCUCCCUUCCACAGAUGGAUCUCAGGCCUUCUGUCAAAUUCCACACCACAGGAGGAGCCAUGGCCACUGCAUCUACUGAGGAGAGUAGCCUAGAGUAGAUGCCAAACACCCACUGCCGGGACCUGGAAUCUCCUGUUGUUAUUUGCUUUCCCACAGGACGCCAUCUACCUGCCAGGCUCCAAAGUCCAUCCCCCUAGACCAAUAACAGCCACCGAUCCUCUCACAUGGGCACUUUUUUAAAAAAAAAAAGUUUAAUGGCCAGCGCCAUGGCUCAAUAGGCUAAUCCUCCGCCUUGCGGCGCCGGCAUACAGGGUUCUAGUCCCAGUCGGGGCGCCGGACUCUGUCCCGGUUGCCCCUCUUCCAGGCCAGCUCUCUGCUGUGGCCAGGGAGUGCAGUGGAGGAUGGUCCAAUUGCUUGGGCCCUGCACCCCAUGGGAGACCAGGAGAAGCACCUGGCUCCUGCCUUUGAAUGGCCGCGGCGGCCAUUGGAGGGUGAACCAACGGCAAAGGAAGACCUUUCUUUCUGUCUCUCUCUCUCACUGUCCACUCCGCCUGGCAAAAAAAAAAAGUUUAAUUUCUUUUUUUUAAUACAAAUCAAACACUUGUAAACUGUAGAAAAGAAAAUAAGGAUCACCUCUAAAAAUCGCACCACUCAAUGAUAUCUAGGAGGUGUAUCUCCAUCAAAAUGGUUGUCUGAAGUAAAUACUUAGAUGCUAAGCCGGCGCCGCGGCUCACUAGGCUAAUCCUCCGCCUAGCGGCGCCGGCACACCGGGUUCUAGUCCCGGUCGGGGCGCCGGAUUCUGUCCCGGUUGCCCCUCUUCCAGGCCAGCUCUCUGCUGUGGCCCGGGAGUGCAGUGGAGGAUGGCCCAAGUGCUUGGGCCCUGCACCCCAUGGGAGACCAGGAAAAGCACCUGGCUCCUGGAUCCUGCCACCGGAUCAGCGUGGUGCGCCGGCCGCGGCGGCCAUUGGAGGGUGAACCAACGGCAAAGGAAGACCUUUCUUUCUGUCUCUCUCUCACUGUCCACUCUGCUUGUCAAAAAAGAAAAAAAAAAUACUUAGAUGCUAAACAUUGGUUCAUUUAUUAGAAGGGCGGAGUUGUUGUGGGCAACAGGGCCCCCACUCUUUUCUCCAUGCAUGAAAGAGAUCAAAGUAGAAGCGAAAAGUGUGCAGGGACGAAGGACUUAUUUAAAGCAGAACAAAGGUGUAUGCUCAAGAUAUGUCAGUCCAGGGGCUGGCAUUUGGUGUAAUGGGUAAAGCCACUGCCUGCAAUGCUGGCAUCCCAUAAGGGUGCUGAUUUGAGUCCUGGCUGUUCCACUUUCAAUCCAGCUCCCUGCUAAUGGUCUGGGAAAAGCAGCAGAAGAUGGCCCAAGUGUUGGGGCCCCUGCACUGACAUGGAAGACCAGGAUGAAGCUCCUGGCUCCUGGCUUUUGCCUGGCCCCAUUGCUGGCUGUUGUGGCCACCUGGAGAGUGAACUAGCAGAUGGAAGAUCCCCCCUCCCCAACAUGGUGUAAGCAGUUAAAGUUUAGGAGAGCUGGAAUUCUUGUAUCUCUGCUAAGUGCUGCUGUCUCUUUAACUUUUAUUUUGAUACACCUACCUUCCCAGGAUGCACCCAUCACAACCAAAAUCAGGGUACAUGCUCAGACCCCACCCUGUUUGUGUAUCUGAUUGGGUACAGCCCUUCCCUUAUAAAAAGAGUGGAAAAGCGGAGAAGGCUCACUCCCCACCGUGGAUUGCUCCUGUUUUCACUUAGAGGUACUGUUCUCAGGGUUUUCUCCCUGUCUCUUGUUCCAGGACAACUUUUUGGCCCAUUCAUGUACGCUAUUUCUCUAGGUGGGGUGGCCAAUGCUUGUACAUGAAAGUAUGUUUAUUCCCUCACUGCUAAAUACACCCUGGUCCUAUCUGCACACGAUGCUAGUCUCCACUUAGCAUAUUUAUCUCUGAGGUGGAGGGAGAAAGAGCCAGAAUUGGGAAUUAAUAUAUUCAUUGCCUAAAGGAAGAUGACUGCAGCAGGCAGGGUUGAGCCAAGCUAAAGCCGGAAGCCAUCCCGGUCUCCCACAUUGGUGGCAGGAACCACAGCACUCGGGCCAUCAUCUGCUCCUUUCCAGAUGCUGCUUAGCAGGACACUGCAUCAGGAGUGUGAAGUAGCUGGGACUCAACCCUGCACUCCAAUAUGAGAUGCAGGCAGCCCAAGCAGCAGCUUAGCUCACUGUGCCACAACACCUGCCCCCUACUUAGAUGCUCCUAAUAUAAAAUACAGAAACCAGCCGGCGCCACGGCUCACUAGGCUAAUCUUCCACCUUGCGGCGCCGGUAUACAGGGUUCUAGUCCCAGUCGGGGCACCGGAUUCUGUCCCGGUUGCCCCUCUUCCAGGCCAGCUCUCUGCUGUGGCCCGGGAGUGCAGUGGAGGAUGACCCAAGUCCUUGGGCCCUGCACCCCAUGGGAGACCAGGAUAAGCACCUGGCUCCUGCCAUCGGAUCAGCGCGGUGCGCCAGCCGGCUUGGCCGCGGCGGCCAUUGGAGGGUGAACCAACGGCAAAGGAAGACCUUUCUCUCUGUCUCUCUCUCUCACUGUCCACUCUGCCUGUCAAAAAAAAAAAAAAAAAUACAGAAACCACAACAUAUAUUGUUUUUCAGCUUUUUUAAUGGUAAAUAUUGACAGUGUACAACUUGAUGUUUUGAUAUACAUAGAGAAAUAAUUACUAUAUUUAAGCAAAUGAAUAUGUCCAUCUCCUAAUAAUAUGCUUUUAUUUUUUCUACUUGACACAUGUGGAUGUCUGUUGCCACCCAAGGUACACAUCUGCAGGAAGCUGGAUCAGAAGUAGAGGCCCAGGACUUAAUCAGAUACUCUGAUAUGGGGUGUGGGUGUCCCAAAUGGCAAUUCAACUGCUGUCCCAAACACCCACCCCUGUUUAUUUUUUCUCUUCAGUAAUUUUCAUGCUUACUUGAUUUAAUCUGUUAAUCCUUCUUCUGUAAUUUCUGGAUUUGGCUGUAGCUAACUUUAUGAAACCUCGGUCGUUGCUCUGUCUAAACUUGUGUCAGUCAUUUCAUCUUUCUGGCCCUGAUCCCACGAAGCUCAGACUCUUCUGUACCUGAGUCAUGACAUGUGUUAGUCUGUUGUCAUGUCAAUAGUGUGAAAGAUUAAAAAUGGCCAGAAAUUCUGAAGAGACAGGGUCUGCGUCCCCUCCCCUUCAACCUGAGUGGGUUCUGGGACUGUCUUCCUUAGUAGAAUAUGGCAGGUGCUCACUCUGUGCCUGUUCUGGGGUUAGGCAUCAAGAGGCCAGAACCAUCCACUUCUUGGUUUCUGGAACAUUCUGGGAGUCCUCAGCUGCCAGGGAAGAAGUCUGAUUGUCCUCACACCACAUGCAGGAGAGGCUCUGUCUGGACCCUACAGAUGAGGGUCCCAGCUUUGCCCAGCCUUUCACCAUUCCCUCCCAGACAUCACACUAGUGAGGGAAAGGCUCUCGGGUCCUCCCAAACCAAUCUCCCACCAGCUAAACACCAAGUGACCCCAGCGAUGCCCAUGAGGCAAAAGAACCACCCAGAGAAGGCUGCCUGAAUUCUUGACCCACAAACUCAUGAGAAAUCAUUAUUACACUGUGAUUAAUUUAACCAUUGGGGAGCAAUUCCUUAUACAACAACAGAUAAUUAGAAAUUAGCAUGGGUUAAGAACCACCCAUGUACUGAUAAGAAAGAGAAAAAAGGAAGCAUAUAAACCUUUAAAAAAUCAUUUUCUUUCUUGGAAAUAACCCAAAAGGAAUGGCUAAGAUCAAGCCCUGGCCUCUGCAGAUGUUGGGUGGGAGGUGAGGGCUGGGGGAAGCAGAGUGACACAGAAAAGCUGAGCUUCUAGAGAGGUCGGACGGGAGUGCUGCUUACUCCUCCGCUCUGACUCAUCCCCCCAAGGACUUUGCCCCACAUACAUGGAAUUCAGGAAGACGAUCUUCCUUGGUCCCCCCAUUUUUGGAGCAGGUACAAGGAAGGGUAAAGUAGGACUACCCUAUAAGGUGCCUCUGGCUUUCUUUCAAGGCAGGCCCUGCUUGGAAAUUGCUCUGGGUUGGUGCUGGGAGGUAGGGGUGCUCUACAUUUUGUGGAAAGGGCGGCUUUGCGGGGAACGCUGUAUCCUCAGCAGUUCCCAAGAUCAAUUGUCUUUAUUACGUGCGAUACUUAAGAGGAAUUUGUUAAUCAGGGAGCAUUGAUUGGAGGUUAUAAUUUCGAGCUCCUGAGAUUUAAAGAAUGGACACCAUGAAUAAAUUUUCUUGUAAUUUAUAGAUGGUCUAUGUAUACCUGUAUUACUUAAAACAAGUGUACGUGUUAGAGAACUAAUUUAUAAUAGUUCAUGUUUAUUAAGUGCUCACUCAAUAAAUAGACCCUGUGCCAUGCUGUAUUAGGACGGGAUAAAAACAAAUACCUAAAUCUCAGUGGCUUAAAUAAAUGUUUAUUUCAGUCAUGCCACACAAGUUGGGUAGGAUUCUGCUUUGAUGCUGUCACCACAGUCAUGGCAAUACUCAGGCUGACAGACUCUGCCAG